AGCUUUAAGUUUGAUUCUUGCUUAUAAUUUUUAUACUAUGAUUAAAAAAUACAUGAAAAUUAUAGUGUUCCUUUAUAUUAAAAAUUAAAAAUUAUAUAUAAUAUAAGUCUCAGUAUUUAAUUUUAAAUAUUAAUUAAAAUUAGAAUUGGUAAUCAUUUUAAUCCUGACUAAAAUUUGUGCCAGCAGUCGCGGUUAUACUUAGAGGGUAAAUAAAUAUAAUUUGGUAUUUAUAGUAAAUUAUUAGUAAAAUAUAUAUUAUUAUUUUUUUUAAAGGGUGAAAUCGGGAUUUAAUUAUAAUAAUAAUUUAAAAAUAAAACAAAAACAAACUAUAAAUUUUAAUAUAUA
rnacentral:rRNA from 1 species